rnacentral:rRNA from 1 species
GACGUAGGGCGCGAGCGUUGUCCGGAUUUAUUGGGCGUAAAGAGCUCGUAGGCGGCUUGGCAAGUCGGGUGUGAAAACUUCAGGCUCAACCUGGAGCGGCCACUCGAUACUGCCAUGGCUUGAGUCCGGUAGGGGACCACGGAAUUCCUGGUGUAGCGGUGAAAUGCGCAGAUAUCAGGAGGAACACCAGUGGCGAAGGCGGUGGUCUGGGCCGGAACUGACGCUGAGGAGCGAAAGCGUGGGUAGCAAACAGG